CGGGGAGUAGUUCAGUUGGCUAGAAUGUACGGCUGGGGGUCGUGAGGUCGCGGGUUCGAGUCCCGCCUCCCCGACAA
rnacentral:tRNA from 1 species